rnacentral:lncRNA from 1 species
AUCGCUUGAACCUGGGAGGCGGAGGUUGUGGUGACUGGAGAUCGUGCCACUGCAUUCCAGCAUGGGCUACAGUGCGAGACUCCCAUCUAAAAAAAAAUGCUGGGCGUGGUGGCGGGCACCUGUAAUCCCAGCUGCUCGGGAGGCUGAGGCAGAAUUCUUGAACCCGGGAGGCAGAGGUUGCAGUGAGCUGGGAUCACACCACUACACUCCAGCCUGGGCAACAGAGCGAGACUCCGUCUCAAAAAAGAUUUCCAGACUCUGCCUACUGUUCUCUCCUCCCUGACCCCACCUGGUUCCUGCUCCCCGAUCCCUCCCCUUUGGUUAACCCUGGAAGCCUCUUCACUGGCUCCCUGCUCUCCAUCCUCGCCACACAGCCAGAGGGACCUGUGAGCGCCUCAGCUGGGUGUCCCACCCCUGCUCAGAGGUCUCCUGUGGCUUCGUCUCAGAGUAAAAGGGUAAAGUGGUCAUCGAGGCCCCUGAGACCCCACCUGAGCUGCUCCACCUUCCUCUUCGGCCCAUCUUUCUGUCUUGCUUGGUCCACCCGACCCGCCUUGACGUUGAAACUCUCCAAACUCCUUCCUGACUCGUGCAUUUACAUUGCGCCUUGGACCCGUUGGACGCCCA